AAGUUUUCUUUUGAACGAAGUUGAAUCUCCAUAACCCUAAUAACAUCUCUUUUAUCCAUACCCUUAUUCUAUUCUCUUCUUCUCUCUUUGUUUGCCUUCUCCAUCUCUUUGUUCAUCUCUUUGGUUUUGUGAUAAAACCCUAACCCAUGUACUGUUUUGCAGGUACAAUCAAUAAACCCUAACCCAUGUUUAUUUUGCAGGUACAAAAGAGCAAUAUCACAUUCUGUUAAUCGAUAUUUGGUUGGUAUAAAUUGCAGUGUCUGGAUUAUGUGAAUCGAUUCUUGCUAUCGUUUCUUCUUCUCAUCGCUUUGGUCGUUGGUUUUAUUUUGAUUACAGGUUAUUUCAUUGAAAAAAAUGGCAUUCCGGGAAAAAAAAAGUGAUCUGCACAUAAAUAACACUUUCCCGGAACAAAAAAAAAGAAGGAAAAAAAAUUCAUUAAAACCCUAAAACCACAUCAUAAUGUUCUCUUUUCACUCAUCGUUUUUCUCCAUUAUAUUCUCUCUGAUUUUCAGAGUAGUCAUCGUGGCUUUUAGGUCAUGUUCUUAUUAAUACGAAGGAUAAUCACGAAACAGGGGUUUGCUUAUUUGGAUGUUUCGAUUUUGCAGACUAGGGUUUAUUGAGGUUUCGCUUUUGAAUUCAAUCAAAAUCACUGGUUUUGGGUGUAGGAUUCUGCUUUGUGUCAGCAAGCUCUGUCACUGUCCAGUUACUCCAUAGAUGAUCCAACCUCAAGUGACGGAAGUAAUGUGUCAGUAGGUGACGUAGAUAUGAUGGAGAAUUAAGUACAAGAUGAUCAAGAGCUGGCCACGGGGAAAUUGAUCCUUGCUGUUGUCAAGGCUGAAUACACCACCAUGCGCAAAGAGAGGCCAAAGAUCAUCGUAUGACCCUAAUUAAGAACCUGAGGAUGACCACAUACAUCCGUGGUGACAGGCGUGUCUUAUGCGAAAAAAGGUUGUACUUCAUUCCUUUCACAAACGUCGAAGUUGCGACCAGAGAUAAUCAUGGAGUUCCAAGGUAUGAGUUCCAAGGUAUAUUUGAGAUAGGUACCUAUGUGGUUUAGUAAAACCAAUAGAAGACUUUAGAAGAAUGUGAUAUUGUUGAACAUACAAACUCAGGUAAUUCAAAAGAUUAAAUUCUAUUUUUGAAACCCCUAUACAAGUACUAGAUGCAAAGUAGUUCUGAUUUUAAUGAAGAGUACCCAUAUACAAGUAAUGAAAUUCCAUUUUUGGAACUCAUAUCAUUAAUCAAUGUAGCAUUCUUUGUAUUUGUGACCAGGAAUGAAUUUGAUAAAUAUGAUUUUGGACCUGAACACUGCUAUUUGUUCCAAAUGUUCCAAAUACAGAUUGGAUCAUUUGGGGCAAGUGAGCUGGGCUCAACAAGCUAGAGAGUAAUUUUACUAUCAACAUUCACUAGAACACUCACAUGCAGUCUAAGUUUGUUGGAAAUAACUAAUUUCUAUAAUGAAGUUGAAUCAUCCCGUGAAGGACUUACGUCGUAAUAGUCAAUUCAAUAAAGUAAUAUGAGGUACAUUUUAACAUCUGUGUUUUCUUAUAUUCCUAUCUACAUAACACAACAUUGUCUCCCACCAAACAAAAAUUUGCAAUUGCAUUAGAUAUCUGAUUUGUUAGUAAGCAUUUACAACAGUGUAGGCAUACACUUUUUGUUAGCACUAAAGAUGUAAAUCUUUGUUAGGAUAUGACGAUUCAUCGGUACUUAAAAAUAGUUGCUUUGGAACUUUGUAGUUAUGCAUUAUAACUCCCUGCUAAAGAAUGUUCAUAUGAGUUUUAUAGUAAACCAAAAUCUUUGCUUAAAAUAUUUGACAUAAAAUCUUAGGAAAUAUUUGACAUGAGUUUUAUGAGUAACUAGAUUUGAUUUUUAGACGUACGUUUUGUAUAAGAUUGCAGAUUAAUAGUCUAACCUCUUUAUAUAAUUCAUGUUUGAGACAUAUUCUAGCUAUUUAAAUUACUUCUUUGGUUUGUGUUGUGUAAAACAUGCACUAUAUGCACCUCAUAUGUCUGUAAACCUUUCUCAAAUACCAACCACUUAGUGAGUUUACGAUUGUGUAUUUGAGAAAGGGGCAUGUUAAUAUACCGGUGUUUAGACUAAACUGUAGCCGCAGUUCACGCAGGGAGUGUUAUACCAGAAUUCACUUAUCGUUUAAUUGGAAAUGUUAGCCUGAAAAAUCCUUGGUGCCUCCACCCCUCCAGUUCAUGCCAGAUAUUUUUCAGUGGAGAAUUAGCCUUUAGCCUGUCAUGUUACAAUGUUACGUGCACAGUCAUCUACUAUAGCGUCAACUACUAUAGCAAGAGUUCUCGAAUGUCCGAGUUCUUACCAACAUGAAGGUGUUCAUGUAUUGAAGAAUCCUUGGUGUUAUACCAGAAUUCACUUAUCGUUUAAUUGGAAAUGUUAGCCUGAAAAAUCCUUGGUGCCUCCACCCCUCCAGUUCAUGGCCAGAUAUUUUUCAGUGGAGAAUUAGCCUUUAGCCUGUCAUGUUACAAUGUUACGUGCACAGUCAUCUACUAUAGCGUCAACUACUAUAGCAAGAGUUCUCGAAUGUCCGAGUUCUUACCAACAUGAAGGUGUUCAUGUAUUGAAGAUGUUUUUGCAGGGUGCUACCUGCACAAUUCUGUCAUUAACGGUCCAAAAGUUGCACUAUGGUCGCAGAAUGUUCAAGGUGUUGUGGUAGGAGAUACCAUAGAAACCAAAAAAAAAGUGCAGUACAUGUGGAUCUUAAAAGAAAAAUAGUUGUGCCAAAAAACUAAUAUUGUGCUCUAUAUUUAGAUAGAUUAUAUACAGGUUUUAAUCUAGGGUAAUAAAAAAUAGUUGUUUACAUGAAAUUUAGCGGGUCAGGUAAAAAUUCUAUUGUUGGAAGAAUAGCUAAUUUUGAUGUAUUGCAUUUUCAUAAUUAAGCGCUUUAUUCAAAUAAAUGAUAUAAAUAUUGGUAGUAUUUUGUUAUA